rnacentral:tRNA from 1 species
GGGCCGGAAGCAUUGCGGCGAUGCAGCGGUCUUUUAAACCGUUGAGCAGGGUUCAAAUCCUUGUCGGCUCAC